GAUGAAGAACGUAGCGAAAUGCGAUACGGAAUGUGAAUUGCAGAAGUCAGUGAAUCAUCGAAUCUUUGAACGCAUAUUGCGCUCUCUGGUAUUCCGGAGAGCAUGCUUGUUUGAGUAUCAGUAAACACCUCAACUUCCAUAUCUUUUUUGAAAUGGGAGUUGGACUUGAGUGAUCCCAACGCUUUUCCUCACCGAAAAGUGGCGGGUUACUUGAAAUGCAGGUGCAGCUGGACUUUUCUCUGAGCUAUAAGCAUAUCUAUUUAGUCUGCCUAAAAAACAGAUUAUUACCUUUGCUGCAGCUAACAUAAAGGAGAUUAGUUCUUGUGCUGACUGAUGCAGGAUUCACAAAGACGGCUUCGGCCGACUUUGUAAACUCGAUCUCAAAUCAAGUAAGACUACCCGCUGAACUUAAGCAUAUCAAUAAGCGGAGGA
rnacentral:misc_RNA from 1 species